AACCUUCCCCCUUUUACAAAACUCACGAUUUUUCUUUGGAUGCAGGCACCCAAGUGAUAAAACCAUCAAACACGAUUACACACUCACACUUUUUAGAUAUACUCCUCAGAAUCACUACCUAUUUGCGAGUGCUACCUUCACACGACAUCCCCGGCAACCAAAACCACACAAUCAACUAUCAGCUAUCAUCUAUCAGCUAAGAGAUUUCAUUACUAAUUGCUUUCU
rnacentral:lncRNA from 1 species